GCAGGUGUCUGCGAUGUGGCGCUGGCCCGCAAGGGCGGUGAGGAAAGUCCGGACUGCGCAUAGCAAGGAUAGCGGCCAACGGCCGCGCGGGGCAACCCGACGAUCAGAGCAGCAGAGACGAGCAGAUUCAGUUCUGAGUGAAACGAGCAAUCUCUAUCCGCAGCAACCCCGAAUAGGUUCCAGCAUGGGGGCUAUGACCCUGGAACGGGUAGGGGGCAACAGAGGCGCGCGGCAACGCGCGUUCAAGACUAAUCAUAUCGCAUGGCGCGGGUUGAGAUACCGGCGCCGGGACAGAAUCCGGCUUACAGGGCACCUGAAAAA
rnacentral:RNase_P_RNA from 1 species